AACAAUGGUCAAGGAUGAUCGUCCCAUGAAAGCUGCUGCUCCAGUCUCUGGUGAGCAGUUUCCCAGAUGGAGUGGAAGAGCUGAUUUUACUCCAGCUCCUGUGAUAAGGAAUACUAAUCCCUUUCUACAAGACAGAAGUGGAGAAUUUUGUGAUCACUGUUAGAGGGGCCCUGCCUCCAGCCAGGUGGAGGAGAGGGAUAAUCGGGUUUACUGGACUGUGUUACCGGCUGGGUUCAAACCACGACAGGCAUUGGAGCCAGGAACAGAAAGGAGAACAUGACUGCAAACCAAGUCUGCCUUGUCCCUAGUAUGAGCGUUGAGCAAGAACCAUGGAGCAGAGAUGCUGAUCCUGUUGGAGGAUUUUUUUAGAGGCUGCUUUGGAAGGCAAAUAGAUUCUGCCUAGAAAUUUGCAGCUGAAUUCUGUAUCCACAGUGAGAGUACCCCUGUGAGAGAUGAUCAGAACCUCAUCUAUGAUUGUAACUUUGAAAUGCUGCAACCAGUGUCUGCUCUAGGUUGAAGAGGCUGUCAACUUGAAGGCUGGCAGUCAAUAAAGAACUGAAUGCCUUGAUUGAAGACUCUCCGUAAUUUCACAGAAGAGUGGUUGAAUGACAGGUUUCAAGAAAGGACUAAGGAAACUCUACUAGGAGAAUAUUCAUGACUGAAUAUUGAAUAAGCACUAAAUACCAAAUGAACACUGUAGCAUACCAGAGGCAAGAGCCAUGAAAUGAGCUACCCAGAAGAAAGAGGCUACUGUUGCGAGAGAUGUGAAAGACCUUCCUCUGAAUUGACAAGUAGGAUGAAAUAUCUGGCUUGUCAAGGAAAAUGAGAACUGAGAGUAAACAAGGAAAUUUAGAGAAGACUAUGAGUUCUGCAGUGGAAAUUCAAGAACUGAAAAACUGCUACAAUAAAUGAAAUUCAGGCAAGUGUCUCUGGUAAAAAAAAAACCAACAAAACAAAACCAAAAGCCAAACAAAAAAUCCCCUAAACCUUAAGAUUACUAUUUUAGGGCAUACUGUCUUCUGUCUAUGGUUGGCCAGGGAUGUUUCAUUAUGGAAAAUACUCUCCUAUGUAUUCUCUGAAGAAGUACACAUACUUUGAAAUCCAGUGGGCUAUUUCACCACAACUUUUUUCUUCUUUUGAUGUCAGUAGAGAGCAAAGCAGGCUCUCUACUGUAUCUGCUGCCUGUGCCCGCUACAGCUAAUUUUUCAAUUUAUAUAAAUAAAUAACCUGCCAAAACUAAUUACUUCUCUUCAAAUUUUAAAUACGUUAUUUCUCCUUUUCCCCCCCCACAUAUGUCUUGCUUUAAUUAUUUUUGCAUCAGUUGUCAUUUUAGGAGCUGGUUAGGUCUAAAAAGGGAUGAUCGUAUAUGUUUUGCUAUUCUGAUUUAACUAAUUAAGAUUGCUGCUUUUGUCUUGCUAUCUGGAGGCAGAAAUGGAGUGGAUGCUGAUAUGCUUUUGAUUUGAUGGAUAAAGAAAUUGUUGUGAUCCAACAUCAGUAAGUAAAAAACUCUGGCCAGUGUUUGCAAAACCAGUGGGUUGAUUUUCAAAAAUGCUUAUGAGCAUUAGCCUCCCAUAUCCCAUUUCAGUCUGUGGGACUCGUCCUCUAUAAUCUCCAGUGCGUGAUUAGUCUGCAGAGGAGUUGGUUCAGGAAUGAGUUGCCCAGCACUGUUAGUUAACAGUACAAAAUUUAAGUAUCAGAAAUAUCAGCAAACUUCUACCUAACCUUGAGUGCAUCUAACUCUUUGCGGGUUUCUUGAAAGUAUUUGUUCUUUAACAGAACUCCUCAUAUCAUGAAGUAUCUCAGCCAUGACAAGAACUUACAGUAUUCUUUAUACGUGUUCCCCCUCUGAGGUUCUUCAGGUUAUGGGUACUUCUCCUGUCUUACUGGAUUGCUUAGCUGGGAGCAUAUCUAAACUCAGGUACUGGACUCUGCACAUGACAUUUGAGGAGAAAGUUCAUACAGCAGCUCUGUGGCAAAAGUACUUGCCCAUCACGGGGAAAUCUAUUUUUGUCCCACUUUGGCCUGAAUAGACUUGAGCUUGUCUUAUCCUUAAGGCAAGCAUCUGAUGCACUAGCUGUGGGGAAUUCUGUGGUGGUAGAAAGGACAUAUUUUCAUCCAUUUCAGGCUAUUUCCCUCUAAAUGAAACAAUUAAAAGGGCAGAGAAAAUCAAUCUGAUUUCACCAUAAAUAUGGUACUUGCAAGUAGAUGCAAAGGUAGCAGUAGGUCCCCAGUUGCUGCAAUUGCAAGGGUGGGUUAAGUCUGCAAUUGUACUACCUGUAGAACAAGUAGAUAUCAGCGCUAUUUAAUCUGAUUCUCUUCUGGAGAGGAAGGGGCCAGGCUGGCAUGGCCUAGUCCAUAUACUGAUGACAGCAGUUUCCUACAGAUGUGUUCUAAAAUGAGAUGAUGAGGAUUACUCUACUCUGGGACAUUGUUCCGUUCAGGACAUUAUCUCUAAAUCCCAUCUGUUUCCUUUCAUUGUACAUUCUUACCCACCUCAUUUCUCACUCAUCUUACCUCCUUCUUGUCAAGGAUGUUCCCAGGCUAAGACAAACACGUCCUACACUAGACUUCUUGGUCUUUGCUUUUUAGCAUGUGACUGAGCCAUAUUUGAUUUGGUACUAGUACAUGGCCAUUUGUUUUCUGUUGUAAUUUGCCACACAAUCUUCAUUAUAUUCUUCUUGUUUAAUUUCAAAAAAAAGCUCUUCCAGUCUCACUCAGCUUCAUUGAGGUGUCUUUGACCAUUGUGACUACAGGACACUCAGGGAGGUGAAAUCUUAUUCCACCACAAGUCAAUUGAAAUGCUGAAGACAAGACUUCACCUUGACAUUGUGACACUUUUAGUAACAUUCUUCCUGUUUACAUGUCUGAGAAGAACACAAAUUUCAGUAUGUGUUCUAUAUGAUCAAGUCUUAGUUGUGGUUUUACUACCAAAGAAUCUAGUCUUUCAUGUAUCCAGUGGGAACACCCUAACUGUAACAACUGGAACUUCCAUUUCCCAAUGCUUUCUGAGAAGAUCCUCAAAAUAUAUCUUUAUUGUAAUUCAGUUUAUCUUUGAAGCAUGCUCAUUAAUUCAUUUAUAUUUAAAGGCACUUUGGUAAAUACAUUUGCUAUGGCACUUUGUAACUACAACAUUUGUUUUAAACAAAGAUCUGUGUUAGUCUUUUUCAUACA